rnacentral:rRNA from 1 species
CCUACGGGCGGCAGCAGUGAGGAAUAUUGGUCAAUGGGCGCGAGCCUGAACCAGCCAAGCAGCGUGAAGGAUGACUGCCCUACGGGUGUUAAGUUUCUUUUAUAAAGGAGUAAAGUGAGGCACGUGUGCCUUUUUGUAUUUACUUUACGAAUAAGGAUCGGCCAAGUUCGUGCCAGGAGCCGCGGUAAUAUGGAGGGUCCGAGCGUUACCCGGAUUUAAGUGGUUUAAAGGGAGCGUAGGGGGUUUGUUAAGUCAGUUGUGAAAGUUUGUGGAUCAACCCUAAAAUUGCAAUUGAUACUGGCAGGCUUGAGUACAGUAGAGGUAGGCGGAAUUCGUGGUGUAGCGGUGAAAUGCGUAGAUAUCACGAAGAACACCGAUUGCGAAGGCAGCCUACUGGAC